rnacentral:tRNA from 1 species
ACUUCUCUAGUAUUAGCCAGUACAGUUGACUUCCAAUCAACUAGCCCUAGAACAAACCUAGGGAGAAGUA